rnacentral:rRNA from 1 species
AGGGGAGGCAACCUGGCAAGUCGAACGAAGCAUCCCUUCCGAUUGAAUGGACCAGCUUGCCGGGAAAGGAAUUCAAUUCGGGAUGACUGAGUGGCGGACGGGUGAGUAACGCGUGGGUAACCCGCCCCAUAGAGGGGGACAACAGCUGGAAACGGCUGCUAAUACCGCAUAGCAGGGAAGAGACGCAUGUCUUUUCCUUCAAAGAUUUAUCGCUAUGGGAUGGACCCGCGUCUGAUUAGCUAGUUGGCAGGGUAACGGCCUACCAAGGCGACGAUCAGUAGCCGGCUUGAGAGAGUGGACGGCCACAUUGGGACUGAGACACGGCCCAGACUCCUACGGGAGGCAGCAGUGGAGAAUAUUGCACAAUGGGGGAAACCCUGAUGCAGCGACGCCGCGUGAGUGAAGAAGUAUUUCGGUAUGUAAAGCUCUGUCAGCAGGGAAGAAAAUGACGGUACCUGACCAAGAAGCCCCGGCUAACUACGUGCCAGCAGCCGCGGUAAUACGUAGGGGGCAAGCGUUAUCCGGAUUUACUGGGUGUAAAGGGAGCGCAGACGGCAGUGCAAGUCCGGAGUGAAAGCCCGGGGCCCAACCCCGGGACUGCUCUGGAAACUGUACGGCUGGAGUGCCGGAGAGGUAAGCGGAAUUCCUAGUGUAGCGGUGAAAUGCGUAGAUAUUAGGAGGAACACCAGUGGCGAAGGCGGCUUACUGGACGGUAACUGACGUUGAGGCUCGAAAGCGUGGGGAGCAAAC